AAAUCAAGCAGCAUAGAUUUCCUUAACACUGGACUCCAGGGGGGAUAUAAAGCCUUCCUUGCUCAGGAGAAGGAUAAAUGCUUGGGCCAGGUGGUUAGGAAAUCCUUCCUGAAAGAGAACGUGAAUCGCGACUUUAUGGGUGGGUAGAUUCUAAGUUGGUGGGAGGAAGUGUGCAGUCAGGAUCUAAAGACUGGGAAUGUAGAGAGAGGAAAGGUGCGAGAUAGGCUGGGUGAUUAAAAUGAUAUGAAUCUGGCUGGAGGAGACAUUCCAAGCGAGGCAAUGCACAGAGCUAAAGUUAGAAAGUGGGUUAGAUUCAGACUGAGGGGACUUUGGUGCUAGACUGAGAAGUCAGACAGCUUUACCUUGUAGAGAGUGACUGGGAACCGCUAAAAUAGAACAUCGAGAGAGAUUCUUUGCAUUACACAUAGGUGAGGAGCUCCUCUUAUUCACGCAGAUUUGUGUUUUCUUUACAUUGCAGUCACCUGGAAUCAGAAGGCUCUUGCUAUAAUAUUGCUUAAGAGAGAUACCAGGUGUUAGUGUUAUCACUCUUGUUAGGAAGACACUAUUAUCCAAAUGGACAGUCCUAGCCAUGUUCCUCCUCAGGUGGAGCUAACGUGAUGGGCUCCUUGGCCCUUAUGCUCACCUGUGCAUGCCCGGGAAGGAUGGGCAUGAAGAGGGAUCCUGGCUGUCCUGAAUCACAAGUGUUUUAACCUGCCCCAAUCUGGACAGGCUGCCCUCCCGUCCUGGGAUACAGCAGUCAUCCUGAAUCUGCCUUCAGCCUAAUCUUGGGGUUGUCUUCAAUGCUUCCCCACGUUGGCUGUCCCUAGGUUGUAUCUCAUGGUGACUCCUGUUUGACCACUUUCUUUGAGUGGAGCUUGUCUUCCAAUCGGUUUUUGGAAAUAUUUCAUUUUGCUUUGGAAGCCAC
rnacentral:lncRNA from 10 species